GCGGUGGCGGCUGUGUCCGGUAAAGUGCGGCUGCUAACUACGGGCUCUGCCCCUGCUAUAAAGCCUUGGAGACCCCGUACCUUCCCAGAGGACUGGAUGCCCUUGAUGACAGCCAGGCAGACCAGGAUCCAGGCAACCAGCAGAGACAGGGUCAUCUUCCAAUUCAGGCCGCCCGUGUCGUCAAUGGAGCUGGUGAUGUUGAGAGUCUGGCGAUACCAGAAACUGGAAACCCCGAUGCCACCCAGCUGUGGGUAGACGUAGUUCCACACCCCGAUGCUGCCACGCCUGAUCCUCUGACCCACCGCCAGCUCCAGGAAGAACAGGGGGAUGCCAAUGAGGAGGAGGAGAAUAAAG